AACGAACGCUGGCGGCAGGCUUAACACAUGCAAGUCGAACGAGAAGCUUCCCUUCGGGGAAGUGGAAAGUGGCAGACGGGUGAGUAACGCGUGGGAAUUUACCCAAUGGUACGGAAUAACUCAGGGAAACUUGGGCUAAUACCGUAUGUGCCCGCAAGGGGAAAGAUUUAUCGCCAUUGGAUGAGCCCGCGUCUGAUUAGCUAGUUGGUGGGGUAAAGGCCUACCAAGGCGACGAUCAGUAGCUGGUCUGAGAGGAUGAUCAGCCACACUGGGACUGAGACACGGCCCAGACUCCUACGGGAGGCAGCAGUGGGGAAUAUUGGACAAUGGGCGCAAGCCUGAUCCAGCCAUGCCGCGUGAGUGAUGAAGGCCCUAGGGUUGUAAAGCUCUUUCGCACGCGACGAUAAUGACGGUAGCGUGAUAAGAAGCCGG
rnacentral:rRNA from 1 species